rnacentral:rRNA from 1 species
UACGGGGGGGCAAGCGUUGUUCGGAAUUACUGGGGACGGUAAAGGGCGCGUGAGGCGGUGCUCUGAAGUCGGAAUGUGAAAACUCUGGGCUCAACCCCAGAGCCUGACAUCCGAAACUGGAGUGCUAGAGUUCUGGAGGGGGUAGCGGAAUUCCUGGUGUAGCGGUGAAAUGCGUAGAUAUCAGGAGGAACACCGGUGGCGAAGGCGGCUACCUGGACAGAAACUGACGGCUGAGGCGCGAAAGCUAGGGGGAGCAAACAGG